UAGGGAAUUUUCGGCAAUGGACGAAAGUCUGACCGAGCAACGCCGCGUGAGUGAAGAAGGUUUUCGGAUCGUAAAACUCUGUUGGUAGAGAAGAACGUUGGUGAGAGUGGAAAGCUCAUCAAGUGACGGUAACUACCCAGAAAGGGACGGCUAACUACGUGCCAG
rnacentral:rRNA from 1 species